GCAGGAUUAGUGUUAGCGGUUAGCACGACGGUCUUCCAAACCGUAAGGGCGGGUUCGAAUCCCGUAUCUUGCUCCA
rnacentral:tRNA from 1 species